rnacentral:rRNA from 1 species
UACGGGGGGGGCAAGCGUUGUUCGGAAUUACUGGGCGUAAAGGGUGCGUAGGCGGCUUUCUAAGUCGGAUGUGAAAACUCUGGGCUCAACCCAGAGCCUGCAUCUGAAACUGGAGAGCUAGGGUUCCGGAGGGGAAAGCGGAAUUCCUGGUGUAGCGGUGAAAUGCGUAGAUAUCAGGAGGAACACCGGUGGCGAAGGCGGCUUUCUGGACAGAUACCGACGCUGAGGCACGAAAGCUAGGGGAGCAAACAGG